rnacentral:lncRNA from 1 species
GAGAGGGGUGGGCCCGCCUGGAGCCCCCGGCAGGGUGCAGCUCCGGAGCGCACUUCCCCUCCUGGCUGGGCCUCUGUCACCAUUUUCUCCAGUCAUAACCAGCUGCACACAUGCAUGUGCAGGCCCUGACCUUCCUGGUUUUAACAGGGCUGCGGGUUCCCACAGCGAUUGUCUCUGUGUCUAGAAUCAGUGGCUGCUUGAAAGUGCUGAGUGUGCUUCCCAGUGGAGACCCCAUCAGCAGGUGUUUUAGAACCUAUUAACUGUUUGGUUCAUCAAAGGCACAAACAGUAUGGCCCCUCAGUGAAGAGGGCUCCAGCUCCCGCCCCCAUCCCGGCAGAUGUUGGGUUCACCGGCAACGCUCGGCCCGUCUGUGUGGCAGGGCUGGUGCCAAGGCCCAGGACACUGGGGAGCAGCCUGGAGCUGUCCCUCAGGGAGCUGUCCCUUGAGCGAGGAGAGGGUGUGCAUUUCUGGGGGCUGGCCUCUGCUGCCCAGGAGUCUCUGGUGCUCCGGGCUCAGAGGUCCUGGAGCAGGCAGGGAGACCAUGUGGUGAGAGGCUUAGCAGGAUGGCCACCCUUGACUGGGAGGAGGGGCAGGACAGGCUGUAGCUACAGGGUCAUUUGGGGAAGGCCAUGCCCAGGCUGGGAAUGAGGGCCCUGAGGAAGUCUGGGGGCUUGUGGGGUGUUAACAUUUGGCCCUUCUAAGAGAGAAGAGAGAAAUAAUGCCCCUGGGGGCCCCCUGGGCAGGUGGAACCACGAUGCAGAAUAUCUGCCACACCCAGGGAAAAUAGCCCAUCUCAGCAACAGACCAGAGAGGCCGGGAGGUGACCGGGCACUGCAGGCUUCUGUGCUGCCAGGGGCCAGGCUGCAGACCCAAACCACCACCAGCUCUUCAAACGUGCCAUCCAGGGUGUUGACCACCAUUUGGCAGAGAAUGACUGGGGGCUGUCCCUGGAAAGGCCACAUGGAGCAAGGGAGCCCCCAGAGAGUAGCUAAAGGGGGAUGUGGGUGGGCUGGGCCUAGAGCAGGACGAUAGCCUGGCCUCUGUGAACUCCUAAUGCAGUGACCUGCCUGGCUGCACCGAGCUGUGGCUGGACAGCAAGAGGCAAUGACCAGGUGCUUGGGGCUCACUUGGCUCACAGGGAGCUCAGUGCUUGGCCAGGGCAGCACCAGCAGCACAGUGGGCCCCUCAUGGCCUGGGCACGUGAGGCCAUGCCACCUGGGCUCCGCAGCCAGCCUGGCGGCCUGGAAACUCCUGCCACUGAGCUUACCAACAAAGGCUGACUCCCCUCCCCGGGCUGCACAGAAUAGACGGCUCGGGACCCAGACCCCACCGUGUCCGGAUCCUUUUGCUUUGCUUUGCUUCCUAGAUGGUCAGAGGGCAUCAGAAUGUCCUCCGAAGCAUCAGCCCCUCUAAGGAGCUUUGGGUACAGCCCUGGGUAGAACAGCAGAGCUUUGGUGUAGAUGUAAAGAUUCACUGGGGGGGAAAUUCCUCCAGAUCUGGUGACAUUUGGACAGAAAUCAGAGCCUCACAGGGACAAGGGGGUGGAAUUGGGGCCCGAUGAGCCCAGGGCACCAGUAUCUCGAUAGUCCCAUGGCAGCCAAGGGCUCGGGCCGGAUUCAAUGUGGGCUAACUUCGUUGCUUGUCAAAUCUUCCGCUCCAUUAGGAAUAUUGACAGUGGUGAUAAAUGGAUAGAUGAAGGCCAGGCAUGAGGUCUGAAGUUGUCUUCAUUAGGGGUUCGCCGGGGCCUGCGGGGAGCCGGCUGUCUGCCCUGUACCUGUGACACCAAGGAGAGGCAUGUGGAGGGUGCCCGGUGGGCAGCUGGAAGGCCUCUGUCUGUCUGUCUCUAUUGGGGUGCAAGGUGAGAGGCCCGGGCAGCCCUGCAGCUCCAGGGAGGCUCCUCAGCAAGGCACAGGUGUUUUUGGAGGGGGCUUUGCAGCAGGGACC